rnacentral:rRNA from 1 species
GGAUCAAUUUAUUGGUCGUGCUAUUGUACGUACUGGUAUUAUUGGUUCCUCCCUUCUGAAGAACCGCGAUGUCAUUAAUUUGGUGUCGUGGGAAAUCAGGACUGUUACUUUGAAAAAAUUAGAGUGUUUAAAGCAAGAGCACGCUUGAAUACAUUAGCAUGGAAUAAUGAAAUAGGACGUUUGAUUCUAUUUUGUUGGUUUCUAGGAUCGACGUA